rnacentral:rRNA from 1 species
GCACGUGAAAUUCCGUGUGAAUCUGCGAGGACCACCUCGUAAGGCUAAAUAUUCCUGAAUGACCGAUAGUGAAACAGUACCGUGAGGGAAAGGUGAAAAGAACGCCGAGACGGCGAGUGAAAUAGUACCUGAAACCGUGUGCUUACAAGCGGUCGGAGUCUGCCCUAGGGUGGAUGACGGCGUGCCUUUUGUAUAAUGAGCCUACGAGUUACUCCUGUUGUGCGAGGUUAAGCCCCUGGAGGGGUGGAGCCGCAGCGAAAGCGAGUCUGAAUAGGGC